rnacentral:rRNA from 1 species
GACGAACGCUGGCGGCGUGCUUAACACAUGCAAGUCGAACGGAAAGGCCCUUCGGGGUUCUCGAGUGGCGAACGGGUGAGUAACACGUGGGUGAUCUGCCCUGCACUUUGGGAUAAGCCUGGGAAACUGGGUCUAAUACCGAAUAGGACCACGCGCUUCAUGGUGUGUGGUGGAAAGCUUUUGCGGCGUGGGAUGGGCCCGCGGCCUAUCAGCUUGUUGGUGGGGUAAUGGCCUACCAAGGCGACGACGGGUAGCCGGCCUGAGAGGGUGACCGGCCACACUGGGACUGAGAUACGGCCCAGACUCCUACGGGAGGCAGCAGUGGGGAAUAUUGCACAAUGGGCGCAAGCCUGAUGCAGCGACGCCGCGUGAGGGAUGACGGCCUUCGGGUUGUAAACCUCUUUCAAUAGGGACGAAGCGCAAGUGACGGUACCUAUAGAAGAAGCACCGGCCAACUACGUG